UACGGAGGAUGCGAGCGUUAUCCGGAUUCAUUGGGUUUAAAGGGUGCGUAGGCGGCUUAUUAAGUCAGUGGUGAAAUCCUGCGGCUCAACCGUAGAACUGCCAUUGAAACUGAUAAGCUUGAAUACAAUUGAAGUAAGCGGAAUGAGUAGUGUAGCGGUGAAAUGCGUAGAGAUUAGGAAGAACACCAGUGGCGAAGGCGAUUCUCUGGACUGUAACUGACGCUGAGAAGCGAAAGCAUGGGGAGCGAACAGGAUUA
rnacentral:rRNA from 1 species